UAAGGAAUAUUGGUCAAUGGACGCAAGUCUGAACCAGCCAUGCCGCGUGAAGGAUGAAGGUCCUCUGGAUUGUAAACUUCUUUUAUCUGGGACGAAAACGGGAUUUUUAUCUCAAUUGACGGUACCAGAGGAAUAAGCACCGGCUAACUCCGUGCCAGCAGCCGCGGUAAUACGGAGGGUGCGAGCGUUAUCCGGAUUUACUGGGUUUAAAGGGUGCGUAGGUGGGCUUAUAAGUCAGUGGUGAAAUCUCCGAGCGUAACUUGGAAACUGCCGUUGAUACUAUAGGUCUUGAUUUAUCUGGAGGUGAGCGGAAUAUGUCAGUGAGCGGUGAAAUGCUUAGAUAUGACAUAGAACACCAAUUGCGAAGGCAGCUUACUACAUAUAAAUUGACGCUGAGGCACGAAAGCGUGGGGAUCA
rnacentral:rRNA from 1 species